CGGACUACUGGGGUUUCUAAUCCUGUUUGCUCCCCACGCUUUCGCACCUCAGCGUCAAUACAUGUCCAGUCAGCCGCCUUCGCCACUGGUGUUCUUCCGAAUAUCUACGAAUUUCACCUCUACACUCGGAAUUCCACUGACCUCUCCAUGAUUCAAGCGAUGCAGUCUAAAAGGCAAUUCUGGGGUUGAGCCCCAGGCUUUCACCUCUUACUUACAAAGCCGCCUACGUGCGCUUUACGCCCAGUAAUUCCGAAUAACGCUAGCUCCCUCCGUAUUACCGCGGCGGCUGGCACAC
rnacentral:misc_RNA from 1 species